UUUUUCGUUAUGUAUCUAAAACAACAACAGGUAUGGCUUUAUUAUCUCUAUGAAAGAUUGUUUUAUGAUUGCUAAAAAACCACAAACCAAGGGUUCACUAUAAAUGAUUAAAAUUAAAAAUUGAAUUUUUCUUUUAUUUCUAUAAAACGUUUAUUUAACAGCAUUUUAUCUGCAGAACAGUAAUUAAUAUAAUUUAUUAAUGAUGUUUUAAAAUUAAUUAAUUAAACGAUGUAAUUAAUUAAAAUAUGCUUUAACACGUUCGUUUUAUUUUUGACAAAAUUGAAUGUAUCUGUGAUUUGUGAGCUUGAUUUGUCCAACUUUUAUAUAAUUUGUGAUACAAUUAGUGUCACGAAAAAAAAAGAAAGAAAAAAGAAAAAGAUACAAGACGUUUGUGUAUAAUCACGUGCAUCUUGUUCUCAUGAAGAUCCGUAAAUAAAGUGUUAUUGUCUUAGAAAGUUUAUAUAUAUUUUGUGAAGAUUAUUUUCGGUGAGUAUUUAUACAUCAUUAUUACAACUAAUUAAAUGUGACGAUGAUCAAUCAUGCAUGUGUGUAGUUCCUUUUUACAAGAUACUUGGAUCAACCACGCGCGUGCAUUUAUGUACACAAUUUUAUUGUAUAUCUCUGCGAAAUUUACAACAUUCUAUAGCUGUUUUAUAGCCUCCUUAUCAAAUGUGUUGUCAUUAAAGAUAACGAACAUUAACCAUUCGAUAUACACACGGUAACGUUGGCUGUCAAAAAGAUGAUAGGCUCGCGACUAGUUGACGUUAUUCUAAUUUCAAAAACACGCAGAAAUAUUCUAUGUACUAACCCCGAAUUCUGCAUGUGGAAAAUGCCACAUAAUUCAUCUGAUAUGGUUUAGACUCAACUGCACCGAGACUACAAUAAAAAAGGACGAAAUAAGAUCUGGGCCAGUAUCGUGCAACCUAUUGUGAUGACUUUCUUCCACGAUGAUAAAGACGAGUUCCUUCAUUGGGCGGUUAUUUAAAGAUCUGGAUGCAAUCCUUGUGUGUCGUGAAAUUGCCAUUCGCUUUAGAUACUUAACUGCCGAUGCAAACGAAACAGUCUGUAUCGUAAUCAAGUAUUAGAAUUAAAGUACCAUCAGUUUAGCAUAAAGUGUAAUUCUUUGUCUUCGGAAUACAUGUGCACAUAAAGAAGAUAAUAUGCCUCUUUCUUUGUCUUCUUUAAUUAUGAAUGAUACGCUUCGUUUAAAAACAAAAUAACAAAACAGAAGGAAAAAGGUAGAGCAUAUGCCAUUAUCGAAUAGUCGAAAAUAAAAAAUUAUAAUUACACGUGCGUGCGUUUCGUUGUGUGUGCAUAUGUAAUAAUCAUGUCCAUGCGAGAACUGUGGAAACGUACGGUUUGACGUUGAAAGUACUUGCACAUUUUAAGUGUGCACAUUAUAAAUGGCGAACGCGUGAUGCUCACGUGUUUCGAGUUAAUAUGUGUCGUAAUAGCAAAAAUAGAAUUAAGAUAAGUUCAAUUUUUAUGCAUUUCGCAUUGUUUAACCGCGGCUGUGUAAUAGGAGUAAUCAAAAAAUUAAUUUUGUUUCUUGUACUUUUGUAUCUUCUUUUUUUCUGGUUACGUAUUAUAUUUGUUUUAGAACCAAAUACGUAUACUGAAGUUCUUAUUCUCUUCGUUUGGUUUUAUGAAUAUACAAUAAUGUACAUAUGUAUGUCGAUAAUAUGUUGUCGAUCGAACGUGAACAUAAACAAAAAGAUUUUUAAUAUUUUAGGAAAAAUUUGGUGGAAUUGAAAUGAGGAUAACGUUAAUAAAAAUUUUAACAACGAUUCUCUCACAAUUUUCUUAAAUUUGAAAAAUUUUUAAGAAUAAAGGAAACGAUUGGGUUGAAAAUGACCGAAAGACGUAGCAGAGUUAAAUACAAAGUCGAAGUACGUAUAAAUUAAUUAAUAAAUUGCGCCAUACCAAAUGUAAGUCAGUUUCAAUAUUCAUUUCAAGAUUGUUUUUUUUUUUUAAUUCCAAUAUUUCUCUUUUUUUUCACUUUCUCAUAGUUUUACUUUGCAGCGACACGAAACAGCACGCGGUGUGUCUAAAACUCACGUUUUACGUCGGAAGAACUUUAAUCGUGUUGAUUUAACACGCGUGUAUCGAAACGAAUAUUUUAAUCUGUGCCGAAUGCUAAUGUGGAAUAUCGUUAUACGUAACGAGUCUCAAAACAAGAAUGUGUCCAUGGGAGAAGACAGGAACAAAUUGCGAUUUCGAAGAAGAUGAACUUCUCUCGUACCGCAGAAUGUAUUGUACGCGAUCUGAAACACACGCUAAAAAUAUAAUUUCCAUCUCAAUCUAUUUUAAAAACGGG